CGGGCAGUAGCUCAGUGGUAGAGCUCCCGCUUUGUGUGUGGGAAGACCCCGGUUUGAUUCCCUGCUGCUUAC
rnacentral:tRNA from 1 species